rnacentral:rRNA from 1 species
GACCAGACUCCUACGGGAGGCAGCAGUGGGGAAUAUUGCACAAUGGGCGCAAGCCUGAUGCAGCAACGCCGCGUGAGCGAAGAAGGUCUUCGGAUCGUAAAGCUCUGUCCUUGAGGAAGAAGGAAGUGACGGUACUCAAGGAGGAAGCCCCGGCUAACUACGUGCCAGCAGCCGCGGUAAUACGUAGGGGGCAAGCGUUAUCCGGAAUUAUUGGGUGUAAAGAGUACGUAGGCGGACGCUUAAGUCAGCGGUAAAAUGGCGGGGCUCAACCUCGUCGAGCCGUUGAAACUGGGUGCCUUGAGUGGGCGAGAAGUACGCGGAAUGCGUGGUGUAGCGGUGAAAUGCAUAGAUAUCACGCAGAACUCCGAUUGCGAAGGCAGCGUACCGGCGCCCAACUAACGCUGAAGCACGAAGGCGUGGGUAUCGAACAGGAUUAGAUACCCUAGUAA